GGAAUCGUAAUGUAAAUGAGACUUUUAUUUAUUUAUAAACAGUUGUGCAGUUGAUAUCAAUGGUAGCAAAGCUGACUCAAUUGCUCGAAUAUGCGGAACGAAACUCGAAUCAUUGUAGACCAAUACGAAAAGCCAUGUGACGAAGAUGAGGAAUAUAUGGAUAAAGUGUCCACAUAUGAUAUACCCGAAAGUUUGGAUAAUGUGCAACAUUUGAAAUCAUAUCACCCAGCAUAUGUAAGCCAGGAAUCUUUUGAGAGCUAUGAUUUUUCCGACAAAAAGGAAGAAGCUGAACAAUUAGGAUGUCUCAAGUGCUUCGUUUAUUUGGUACUAUUGGUAUUAGCCAUUUACACGGUAAUGCUAAUAAUACAGCUAAGUGAACAAAAUGGGGCAUAAUUUGCUGCUGGCAUAUAUAAGAAAAGUGUAGCAAGAAGAUUUUAUCAUUAAAAAAAAAAAUUAAAAAGUUUUCCAUAUGAAACUUUAAUCUAAAAGCUGGUAAUAAAAGGUCAGUUGGAAAGUCAA